GGUAAUCCUUCUUGUUCGUUUUGUCAUGACGUUGAAACUGCCGGACACCUAUUUUUUGGUUGUGCUUUUGCUCGUUCGGUGUGGGGAACUUUUGGCUUGGCCUUGGGGGCAUCAAGUUGCCUCAAAUCUCUUUGGCAAAGUUGGGUGUGGCUGUAUAAAUUCCUCCCUGGUGAGAGGAAGUAUUACAUGGAAUUCAUAGCUGCUGUUUGUUGGGGGAUCUGGUGUACUCGCAACAAGAUCACGUUUGAGAAACGUGCUGUUCGUACACCCCUAGAGACUGUUUUCACUGUGUGCUCUUUCAUGAUGUAUUGGUCAGGUCUGAUGAAAGGAGAUGACAAGGCGAAAUUCCAGGCUGGGGUGCAGAAGAUGGUUCGAGUGGCGAUCUUGCUGAUCGAUCUACUUCACGUGGCAGACUCGCGCUGGAGCAGGGGAGCUAAAAAAGGUUGA
rnacentral:rRNA from 1 species